UCGCACGAGAACGCCCGGGCCUAGCCGGGGCAAGUACAGUGGCGGACGGGUGCGUAACGCGUAGAUAACCUGCCCUCAGACGCGGGACAAUCGCGGGAAACCGCGGCUAAUACCGCACGACGUCCGGAUCCUGCAUGGGAGCCGGAUGAAACCUUGGGUUCGCCCAGGGGCCUUUGGAUGGGUCUGCGUCGGAUUAGCUUGUUGGUGAGGUAACGGCUCACCAAGGUAGCGAUCCGUAGCUGGUCUGAGAGGACGAUCAGUCACACUGGGACUGAGACACGGCCCAGACUCCUACGGGAGGCAGCAGUGGGGAAUCUUGCACAAUGGGGUCACCCCUGAUGCAGCCAUGCCGCGUGGAGGAAGACACCCCUAUGGGGCGUAAACUCCUUUUCUGAGAGAAGAAGCCCCUGUAGGUUCAGGGCGUGACGGUAUCUCAGGAAUAAGCACCGGCUAACUCCGUGCCAGCAGCCGCGGUAAUACGGGGGGUGCAAGCGUUGUCCGGAAUCACUGGGCGUAAAGGGUGCGCAGGCGGGGCAGCAAGUCGGAGGUGAAAGCCCGUGGCUCAACCACGGAAGUGCCUUCGAAACUGUUGCUCUUGAGUCCCGGAGAGGUUGCCGGAAUUCGUGGUGUAGCGGUGAAAUGCGUAGAUAUCACGAGGAACACCAGAGGCGAAAGCGGGCAACUGGACGGGUACUGACGCUCAGGCACGAAAGCGCGGGGAGCAAACAGGAUUAGAUACCC
rnacentral:rRNA from 1 species